UACGUAGGGCGCAAGCGUUGUCCGGAAUUAUUGGGCGUAAAGAGCUCGUAGGCGGUUUGUCGCGUCUGUCGUGAAAGCCCACGGCUUAACUGUGGGUCUGCGGUGGAUACGGGCAGACUAGAGACAGGUAGGGGAGAAUGGAAUUCCCGGUGUAGCGGUGAAAUGCGCAGAUAUCGGGAGGAACACCGGUGGCGAAGGCGGUUCUCUGGGCCUGUACUGACGCUGAGGAGCGAAAGCGUGGGGAGCGAACAGG
rnacentral:rRNA from 1 species